rnacentral:rRNA from 1 species
UACAGAGGUCUCAAGCGUUGUUCGGAUUCAUUGGGCGUAAAGGGUGCGUAGGCGGCGCGGUAAGUCGGGUGUGAAAUCUCGGGGCUUAACUCGGAAAGGUCAACUGAUACUGUGCGGCUAGAGUGCGGAAGGGGCAACUGGAAUUCUUGGUGUAGCGGUGAAAUGCGUAGAUAUCAAGAGGAACACCUGCGGCGAAGGCGGGUUGCUGGGCCGACACUGACGCUGAGGCGCGAAAGCCAGGGGAGCGAACGGG